AACAACAGAAGCACCAAAAGGCCAAAAUAUUCCAACAGACAGCACAACUACAUGCAUGCUAUACCUUCUUUCUACAAAAGGCCACUCCCAUUUCAAAACUCAUCAUACAAAACUAUUUCUUCCUCAUUGCUUAGUCAAAACCUGUCUCUCAUCUCAUCAUCCUCAAAUCUCACCCAGAAUUUCCAUUCCCUUUUGCUCUAUAUAGCCUCUAGGGUUUCUCAGAAUCUUGUUCUAUAGUCAAUUUGGCAUUCUGUCCACCUCCAUUAAAGAUCAGUGACAACUGGAGGUGGUCAGAACACCAAACGAGCUAUGUGAAUCUGCUUCUGAGAAACCUUCGUGGCCUCAGCUCUCUUCUCUUUCAUAUUAUCUCUUCUGAGUUCUGCAUAAUCAUAGUUUUCCACAUCAUGCACAUGUUAAUUUACAUACACUCAUGCCAUGAUUCCUUUAACUUUGUUCUCAGCAUAUGCAGUCUGCAACUUCUUGUAUGUCUCACCCUAAUGAGUUUCCAUUUUACAUUUUUGCAGAUUCUUCUUUAUAACAUGUAACUUUUCUACAAGGAAGCAAGAGCACUGCUUGGUGAACACAAGUGGGGUCAGGCCUGAAAGAAAUUAAUGGCAGGAAGUUCCUUAUGUUAAAGUUUAAAAUGAUUACUUGAUUAUGCAAUGGCCAUUUUCUUCUCAAAGAUAUUCUAAGUUGGUCCCCACUUAACAGGCGCAUUCUGUUUUCUCUGUCACCGGUGACGACACUUUAUUCCAACGAACCCACAUUUUGAAGGUGGUUGCUGUGUGGUAAAACACUUUUUGCAUAUAUGCAUCAUGGGUUCUAGUUGUUUGGACUCAAGUUGAAGAGUUUUAAAGCUCAGGGUGGUGCUUUUUUGGUUUUGUGGUUGUUUCGACAUUGUAUUGCAAGUGUUUUUCGGCAUCGCGAGAGAGAGAAACGCAAAUGUGGCAGUUCUAGGUUCAUUCUCAUGUGGAUUAAUUUCUAUGAUUAGGGUUUUGAUGGUAAACGACGAUGUUUCAGGUGUGGUGAUUGUUAUUUUCAUGCUCGUAGUGAAGGUUUUAGUGUGUCGAGGUGGACAAAGAUGUUUUGCAAUUUUGGGUUUUGGUGGUGCGAUUCUUGCGUAGAGAUAUGGUGGGUUGCAUCUCCAACAAGGCUUCACACAUGACUUGUGGUGCAAUUGUGUCUUGUUGGUUUUUCCUGGCUCAAAAUUUGUGUCUUCUAAGUACUAUAAUGAAGUUUGAAUGCUGGCGAGCAAAGGAUGACAACGUCGAAACCUGAUUUGAGAAGAUGCAUUAGACUUGACUCUAAUUUGGAAGAAGAUGCAUGUGUGGUUUGCGUUUUGAACGAAAAUAGCUCAUCGCCGACAAUGUGCAAUGGAGAUGUGUGGUGAUGAAGGUGAUUAGAGUUUCUGAUGUGUUGGGAAGUUGAAUAUGAUAAUGUGACAAUGUGUACACUGUGUUAAAUGAGCCAUGAAAGAAAAUACUAUCAA